UUUUGCUUCAAAAUUGUAUAAUUUGUUCAUCUAUCUGUUACAAACUUACUUCAUGUAAAGAUGUUUUUUUUUGGAAUUCUUUGAUCAAUGAAACACAGCUCUCCUGCGCUUUCUAAAAAUAUAUAUAUUCAGAAAUAUAAAGUACUGGAUAUAAUGGUGUAUUGGAUACAUGAUUAGUUGAGAAGAUUCCUGGUUACAUGGAGAAAGGUUAACUGAUGGGUUAGGAACAACAUUACACUAGUCAUCACUAUCAGUGAUGUGGUCCUCAUUAAUGUCACUUGUUAUGUGCCUGUGCUCAUGUUAUCAGAAUCUUAUUACUGAUUACCAAUGACGAUCAUUUUUCUAUGUGAUAUGCUGAUAGUGCUUCCUGGAGGCAGGUGUUUUCACCUGCGAGCAAAAAAGUAGUGUCAUCACUUACACAGUCAAAUUUCUUAUAGGGAAGCAUGUGGUCUGUAGUGUUUAAAAUUUGCUCAUUAGUUCUCUAAAAGUUGAACAAGUUCCUUCGCAUUUGUUUUGGAUUGCAGAAUGAAUACUUCUUCAGGUACAGAGAUGACCGGAAUGCAGCAGAAAUUUUCAGAGCUAAUGGUGAUAUAAAUGGACUUAAAUCACAUUGUAAUAGUCAGGUAAAUCGCACAGCCUGUCUUCAAUAUGUCUGCAGUUAAUAUAUCAUUUAGGAGUAAUGAGUUCUCAGCUAAAAUGCAGUUAAUAUGCAUGCCACUACUUUGUUAAAGCGAAGAUGCAUGCCACUUCUUCUAGAGCAAGUGAAUGGGGGUAUGAGUUGGAUGUUUUAGGUCUCUGUUUGAUGUGGGAUGGAGACCAUCAGAAGAGAUUUGAUCACCAUUGAGGUAUGGAGGGGAAGCAGUAGGAGUUCCAGGGGGAGAGUAGGGUACAAACAGAAGAGCAUCGACAGGUAUUACCUAAGUGGUCAUUUCCUGUCUAUCUGGGAGGGGAUCCAGUGGUGUGGCUUGAUCGGUGUAUGGAGUAUUUUACCAUCUAUAGUGUUCCAAAGUUCAUGUGGGUUUCUGCAGCAUCAAUGCAUUCCGAUCCAAAUGUUGCUCAAUGGUGGAGAUGUCAUAAGCUGUGUCAUGGCAUGAGUAUUUGGCAAGGGUUUGUUUCUGCUGCGACACAGAAAUAUGGUGUUGAUGCUUAUUCGAAGGCUCUGAGAAGACUUAUGAAUCUAAGGCAAACUAGAAAUAUCAAAUGUGUAUAUUAUUCAUCAUAUUUGUUUGAGAUUAUUAAUGUCAUGCUUAGUGUUCGUGCCAAUAGAUAAGUUUGUAGUUGAUGAUAAUAUGUAUUGUUUAUUUUCAUGUAAUCAUUAUAUACUAACUUUGGAUCAAAUAAUUUGUAUGCCGUCGCAACGCACGGCCAUAUACCUAGUAGAUAUUUAAACAUUGACUUAGGAAACCAAACACACCUCCGAAUAUGACGGCGAUGGCAACCGGCCCGCGAGCCCUGGAUGCACGGUCAAUUGAAGAUGGUAGGUGCUAGUGCUACUGAUUGAUUACCGGCUAUUAACAAAAGGAGGGGAUCGGUCUGUCCCGUUGACUCAGUAAAAGUUUGUAGUAACAGUGCUAGCUAAACCUAAUAACCCACACACACUACAGUGUCUACAGCACGAGUCGGUCAAGGAAAAGGGUUGCCCGAUCGAGGAGGCUCGUCUCCAUGUGGGUUGGCAUUGCAUGUGUAGCUUGACAGGGAAUUAGAGAACCUUCGCAGCGGGAUCGGCCAUCAUGUGUCCACCCCCGGGCCCCGGUUGUUGUUGCUCGUGUGGUCCAGCUGCCUAAAUCACAGAACAAAGGUGUGGGGAAGAAGGCGAAGGCGAAGGCGAGAUGGCGAUGGAGAAGGCGAGAAGGGACGGGAAUAAAGACCUGUCGGCGCGGCUGCCUCCGCUCGCUCGGUUUGGCAGGCCACGGCCAUUUGAAACUGCCGGUGCCGGCGCAUGCGUUUCCGUCAGUCUCUAUCGCCCCGGCCUUUCCGCUUCUUCUUUCAUCAGCUAGCAGUUCCGCAUCGGGCCGGGGCCUUGCUUAUACUAGCAUCACACUAACAAAAUCUGUCAAGCUCCCAUCUCUAACCAUAAAUUAAUAAUCAGCAUCCGAUCGUGCUCCUAGCUAGCUAGGUCGU
rnacentral:lncRNA from 1 species